AGUGAACGUUGGCGGCGUGGAUUAGGCAUGCAAGUCGAGCGAGAACCGUAGCAAUACGGGGACAGCGGCGAAAGGGACAGUAAUGUGUAGGUACCUACCUCCGGGUUCGGGAUAGCUGCGGGAAACUGCAGGUAAUACCGAAUAACGUCUCCGGACCAAAGGUGUGAUUCCACCUGGAGAGGGGCCUGCAUCUUAUUAGCUUGUUGGCGGGGAGACGGCCCACCAAGGCAACGAUGGGUAGCGGGUGUGAGAGCACGACCCGCGUCAUUGGGACUGAGACACUGCCCAGACACCUACGGGUGGCUGCAGUCGAGGAUCUUCGGCAAUGGGCGCAAGCCUGACCGAGCGACGCCGCGUGCGGGAUGAAGGCCUUCGGGUUGUAAACCGCUGUCGUAGAGGAGGAAGUGCAGGGGGGUUCUCCCCUCUGUUUGACCUAUUCUAGGAGGAAGGACGGGCUAAGUUCGUGCCAGCAGCCGCAGUAA
rnacentral:rRNA from 1 species